rnacentral:rRNA from 1 species
UACGAAGGGGACUAGCGUUGUUCGGAAUCACUGGGCGUAAAGCGCGCGUAGGCGGCUUUGUAAGUCAGGGGUGAAAUCCCGGGGCUCAACCUCGGAACUGCCUUUGAUACUGCAAAUCUCGAGUCCGAUAGAGGUGGGUGGAAUUCCUAGUGUAGAGGUGAAAUUCGUAGAUAUUAGGAAGAACACCGGUGGCGAAGGCGGCCCACUGGAUCGGUACUGACGCUGAGGUGCGAAAGCGUGGGGAGCAAACAGG